rnacentral:rRNA from 1 species
GGAACGCUAGUUACGGAAUCGACGGACCGGAAAGGCCUGCGCCAGCGAUGGCCGCUUGCGAGGUGCUGCAUGGUUGUCGUCAGCUCGUGCCGUGAGGUGUCGGGUUAAGUCCCAUAACGAGCGCAACCCCUACUGCUAGUUGCCAGGCGGGUCAUGGCCGGGGACUCUAGCGGAACUGCCAGCGUAAGCUGCGAGGAAGGUGGGGAUGACGUCAAAUCAGCACGGCCCUUACGUCCAGGGCUACACACGUGUUACAAUGGCCGGUACAGAGGGCAGCCCACCCCGCGGAGGGGGCGCGAAUCCCGAAAGCCGGUCCCAGUUCGGAUCGGAGUCUGCAACCCGACUCCGUGAAGCUGGAUUCGCUAGUAAUCGCGCAUCAGCCACGGCGCGGUGAAUACGUUCCCGGGCCUU